AACUAAGUUUGUUCUUGGUAUGAGCUUUCGUGUGCAUGCAGAAGUUUCGUGUUCUGAAGAAGUGUGCAUGCACAUGAAAGCUCAUACCAAGAACAAACCUAGUUGG